CUGCAACUGACAUAAUUUUCUUGGCAGAAACAUACACUCUUUCAGUUACUCCCUCCACUCUAGAAAGAGUUAAAAUAACUCAAUUGCCGACUUUCGCAAUAAGUCACGCCUCUCACGUCUUGCCUUCCUAGGGUCUACCAAAGCCUAGGGUUUUCUAGGUCCCAACGACCUAAUUCUAAGCUCCGGUACCAACUUAAUCUGUUACGUCUCAGAUUACCACAUUUUUCCGGUCACGCCAACAGACCUGCCGUAUACAUAGAAAUUUUUCGUGUAUAUGAAGCAAUAGCUGUACCUGUAAAUAGAAUAUAGUUACACAAGGGGUAAAGAGCUGCUAUAACUAAACCAAACAUAUAUAUAAAGACAUAAAGGCUCCACUGUACAUACAAAAGCCACAGAACAAUCUCGCUCCAGCGAAUACAACAACAUAACUGUAUGUACAUAAAACCCAAAACUACCUCUGAUG
rnacentral:lncRNA from 1 species